ACAGAUGCUCUGUGCAGGUUGGCUAGUAACCUAUAAAUCCCUAAACAGCUUUGGCUCUGGGUAUUUAAGAGAACAUCUUCUUCACCAUGAACCCCACCAUCCACUGAGAUCAUCAGGAGAGGUUCAUCUGCAGUGGCAACCAGCUCAUCUUGUGGCUAUUUAGAAUAAUAUCUACCCUAUUAAAGUUGAAAGAGAAGAACAAGCAACAAAAUAAUGGAGUUUGGAAUUCUGGUUCCUCUUACCUUCCUGUGAUCUGAUAGAUCUACUGAUGACACAGCAGAAGUAAUUAUUACAGUGGUCCCUCGACUUACGAACUACUCGACAUCCGAAUUUUUUGACUUACGAACGAAAAAAGUGGCUGCACGCUUACAAAUUUUUCGAACAGAACAGAAAACCGUUGGCGGUUUUAGAUGCGGUUUCCUUGACUUACGAAUUUUUCCGAAUAUUUUUUCCCGAAAACUGCUUCUCCCAUGGCGCUUUGCGUAUGGGAGGCUUUAAAACCCCUGUGCCAUGCUUCCAGACCUCUGUGGGUUGUACGAGGCAUGGAGUGAGGAGGUGUGGAGCGGCGUUGGAGAGAGAGAGAGAGAGAUUUGGAGCCAGUUGGAGUUGCUUGGAGAGUGUUGGAGUUUCUUUUUCCUGCAAUUCUCUACUGCUGGAAAGUGUUUGUGGCGUCAUGGCACCAAAGAAGCCAGCAGAGUCCGGGAAGCGCAAGAGGGAGCUGAUUCUCUUGGAGGUCAAGCAGGACAUCAUCCGCAAGCAUGAGCAAGGCAUGCGAGUGGUGGACCUUGCAAGAGAGUACGGCAGGAGCUUCGACCAUUGCGACCAUGCCUGCCUUUAAAGUGCCCUGAAGUGACCUGCAUCAGGUCCCAAAAAAAUGAUAAAGUGCUGUUGUAAAUGUUUAUUGUUGAAAAGUAAUGUUGCUGUGCAGUUUGCAUGCCUUUAAAGUGCACUUGAUAAAGAGUUUUGCA